AGAGUUUGAUCCUGGCUCAGGAUGAACGCUAGCGAUAGGCUUAACACAUGCAAGUCGAGGGGCAGCACAAGGUAGCUUGCUAUCUGGGUGGCGACCGGCGCACGGGUGCGUAACGCGUAUGCAACUUGCCCUAUACAGGAGGAUAACCCGUCGAAAGACGGACUAAUACUGCGUAUGCUCACAACUUGGCAUCAAGAAGUGAGGAAAGAAAUUCGGUAUAGGAUAGGCAUGCGUCCCAUUAGCUUGUUGGUGAGGUAACGGCUCACCAAGGCAACGAUGGGUAGGGGAACUGAGAGGUUUAUCCCCCACACUGGUACUGAGACACGGACCAGACUCCUACGGGAGGCAGCAGUGAGGAAUAUUGGUCAAUGGGCGAGAGCCUGAACCAGCCAAGUCGCGUGAAGGAUGACUGUCUUAUGGAUUGUAAACUUCUUUUAUACGGGAAUAACAAGAGUCACGUGUGACUCCCUGCAUGUACCGUAUGAAUAAGCAUCGGCUAACUCCGUGCCAGCAGCCGCGGUAAUACGGAGGAUGCGAGCGUUAUCCGGAUUUAUUGGGUUUAAAGGGUGCGUAGGCGGUUUGUUAAGUCAGCGGUGAAAUCUAGAGGCUCAACCUCGAAACUGCCGUUGAAACUGGCGAACUUGAGUGUAGAUGAGGUAGGCGGAAUUCGUGGUGUAGCGGUGAAAUGCAUAGAUAUCACGAGGAACUCCAAUUGCGAAGGCAGCUUACUAAGGUACAACUGACGCUGAAGCACGAAAGCGUGGGUAUCAAACAGGAUUAGAUACCCUGGUAGUCCACGCAGUAAACGAUGAUAACUGGGCGUAUGCGAUAUACAGUAUGCUCCUAAGCGAAAGCGUUAAGUUAUCCACCUGGGGAGUACGCCGGCAACGGUGAAACUCAAAGGAAUUGACGGGGGCCCG
rnacentral:rRNA from 1 species